CAGAACCCAAUCUACAUGCUUGAC
rnacentral:piRNA from 1 species